CCUACGGGUGGCAGCAGUGAGGAAUAUUGGUCAAUGGACGAGAGUCUGAACCAGCCAAGUAGCGUGAAGGAUGACUGCCCUAUGGGUUGUAAACUUCUUUUAUAUGGGAAUAAAAUGUUCCACGUGUGGGAUUUUGUAUGUACCAUAUGAAUAAGGAUCGGCUAACUCCGUGCCAGCAGCCGCGGUAAUACGGAGGAUCCGAGCGUUAUCCGGAUUUAUUGGGUUUAAAGGGAGCGUAGGUGGAUUGUUAAGUCAGUUGUGAAAGUUUGCGGCUCAACCGUAAAAUUGCAGUUGAAACUGGCAGUCUUGAGUACAGUAGAGGUGGGCGGAAUUCGUGGUGUAGCGGUGAAAUGCUUAGAUAUCACGAAGAACUCCGAUUGCGAAGGCAGUUCACUGGACUGCAACUGACACUGAGGCUCGAAAGUGUGGGUAUCAAACAGGAUUAGAUACCCUUGUAGUG
rnacentral:rRNA from 1 species